UACGGAGGAUGCGAGCGUUAUCCGGAUUUAUUGGGUUUAAAGGGUGCGUAGGCGGUCCGUUAAGUCAGCGGUAAAAUUGCGGGGCCCAACCCCGUCGAGCCGUUGAAACUGUCAGACUUGAGUUGGCGAGAAGUACGCGGAAUGCGCGGUGUAGCGGUGAAAUGCAUAGAUAUCGCGCAGAACUCCGAUUGCGAAGGCAGCGUACCGGCGCCACACUGACGCUGAGGCACGAAAGCGUGGGGAUCGAACAGG
rnacentral:rRNA from 1 species